rfam:Ricinus communis cultivar Hale ctg_1100012355282, whole genome shotgun sequence.
GGGUGCGAUCAUACCAGCACAAAUGCACCGGAUCCCAUCAGAACUCCGAAGUUAAACGUCCUUGGGCGAGUGUAGUACUAAGAUGGGUGACCUCUUGGGAAGUCCUCGUGUUGCACCCC